CCUGACGGUAGUCGUAUGCUCGUCUCCGAGACUAAGCCAUGCAAGUCCAAGUACACGUCCUUGAACGACGGAAACUGCGAACGGCUCAUUAAAUCAGUUGCGAUCUACUCGGCGUUCCGCGCCGCCGGAUAACCGUAGUAAUUCUAGGGCUAAUACGUGCGAAGCGCCCGAAGCCGCGAGGCGACGGCGUUCUCGCCGGAUGUAGGAACCGACCCGGGGACCGCCGGGGCAACCCGGCGCCCCCGAGACGGGGCGAACCACGGUGAAAUGACGGAUCGUCGGCCCCGCGCCGGCGACUCGCCGAAUGAGUUUCUGACCUAUCAACUCGAGACGGCGGGGUAGAGGCCCGCCGCGGUAACGACGGGUAACGGGGAAUCAGGGUUCGAUUCCGGAGAGGGAGCCCGAGAAACGGCUACCACUUCCAAGGAAGGCAGCAGGCGCGCAACUUACCCUAAUCUCGAUUCGAGGAG
rnacentral:rRNA from 1 species